UGGGGAAUUUUGGACAAUGGGCGCAAGCCUGAUCCAGCAAUGCCGCGUGCAGGAUGAAGGCCUUCGGGUUGUAAACUGCUUUUGUACGGAACGAAAAGCCUCUCUCUAAUACAGGGGGGUGAUGACGGUACCGUAAGAAUAAGCACCGGCUAACUACGUGCCAGCAGCCGCGGUAAUACGUAGGGUGCAAGCGUUAAUCGGAAUUACUGGGCGUAAAGCGUGCGCAGGCGGUUUUGUAAGACAGUGGUGAAAUCCCCGGGCUCAACCUGGGAACUGCCAUUGUGACUGCAAGGCUGGAGUGCGGCAGAGGGGGGAUGGAAUUCCGCGUGUAGCAGUGAAAUGCGUAGAUAUGCGGAGGAACACCGAUGGCGAAGGCAAUCCCCUGGGCCUGCACUGACGCUCAUGCACGAAAGCGUGGGGAGCAAAACAGGAUUAGAUACCCUGGUAGUCCACGCCCUAAACGAUGUCAACUGGUUGUUGGGGAUUUAUUUCUUCAGUAACGAAGCUAACGCGUGAAG
rnacentral:rRNA from 1 species